CUGCCAUGCCGCGUGCAUGAUGAAGGCCUUCGGGUUGUAAACUGCUUUUGUACGGAACGAAAAGACUCUGGUUAAUACCUGGGGUCCAUGACGGUACCGUAAGAAUAAGCACCGGCUAACUACGUGCCAUCAGCCGCGGUAAUACGUAUGGUGCAAGCGUUAAUCGGAAUUACUGGGCGUAAAGCGUGCGCAGGCGGUUAUAUAAGACAGAUGUGAAAUCCCCGGGCUCAACCUGGGAACUGCAUUUGUGACUGUAUAGCUAGAGUACGGCAGAGGGGGAUGGAAUUCCGCGUGUAGCAGUGAAAUGCGUAAAUAUGCGGAGGAACACCGAUGGCGAAGGCAAUCCCCUGGGCCUGUACUGACGCUCAUGCACGAAAGCGUGGGGAGCAAACAGGAUUAGAUACCCUGGUAGUCCACGCCCUAAACGAUGUCAACUGGUUGUUGGGUCUUCACUGACUCAUUAACGAAGCUAACGCGUGAAGUUGACCGCCUGGGGAGUACGGCCGCA
rnacentral:rRNA from 1 species